UUUCUGGGGAUUAUAAUUUUGAUUAGAAAUUUAAUGAAUCUGGCGGUUUUUAAAUCUAUUUAGAGGAAUCUGUAAUUUAAAUGAUAGUCCACGCUUAAUUUUACCUAAAUUUUCUUGUAUAUCUCUGUCGUGAAUGUAAUGAAAAUUAAUUUUCUUUUUUUUUAUUUAAUUUAUGUUAGGUCAAGGUGCAGUUAUUAUCUAGGUUUUUAUGGAUUACAUUAAUUUUUGUUUUUGGAUGUUUCAGUUGGUUGAAAUUUGAAUUUGGAUUUAAAAGUAAUUUUUUUUAUUUAAUUUUUUGAAUUUGCUCUUGAUUAUGU
rnacentral:rRNA from 1 species